CAAUCAAACCGGGAGAUAGCUGGUUCUCCCCGAAAGCUAUUUAGGUAGCGCCUCGUGAAUUCAUCUCCGGGGGUAGAGCACUGUUUCGGCUAGGGGGCCAUCCCGGCUUACCAACCCGAUGCAAACUGCGAAUACCGGAGAAUGUUAUCACGGGAGACACACGGCGGGUGCUAACGUCCGUCGUGAAGAGGGAAACAACCCAGACCGCCAGCUAAGGUCCCAAAGUCAUGGUUAAGUGGGAAACGAUGUGGGAAGGCCCAGACAGCCAGGAUGUUGGCUUAGAAGCAGCCAUCAUUUAAAGAAAGCGUAAUAGCUCACUGGUCGAGUCGGCCUGCGCGGAAGAUGUAACGGGGCUAAACCAUGCACCGAAGCUGCGGCAGCGAACGUAUCACCCAAGACAACUUUACGGAGUUGACGAUUGACGGAGCGAAGCGACGUCAAAGCGUUCAUUAAAGUCGAGUUGGCUUAGGGAUACGUUCGUUGGGUAGGGGAGCGUUCUGUAAGCCUGUGAAGGUGUGUCGUGAGGCAUGCUGGAGGUAUCAGAAGUGCGAAUGCUGACAUAAGUAACGAUAAAGCGGGUGAAAAGCCCGCUCGCCGGAAGACCAAGGGUUCCUGUCCAACGUUAAUCGGGGCAGGGUGAGUCGACCCCUAAGGCGAGGCCGAAAGGCGUAGUCGAUGGGAAACGGGUUAAUAUUCCCGUACUUGGUGUUACUGCGAAGGGGGGACGGAGAAGGCUAUGUUGGCCGGGCGACGGUUGUCCCGGUUUAAGCGUGUAGGUGUGUGUUCCAGGUAAAUCCGGUUCACUUUAACACUGAGGCGUGACGACGAGGCACUACGGUGCUGAAGCAACAAAUGCCCUGCUUCCAGGAAAAGCCUCUAAGCAUCAGGUAACAUCAAAUCGUACCCCAAACCGACACAGGUGGUCAGGUAGAGAAUACCAAGGCGCUUGAGAGAACUCGGGUGAAGGAACUAGGCAAAAUGGUGCCGUAACUUCGGGAGAAGGCACGCUGACACGUAGGUGAAGUGAUUUACUCAUGGAGCUGAAGUCAGUCGAAGAUACCAGCUGGCUGCAACUGUUUAUUAAAAACACAGCACUGUGCAAACACGAAAGUGGACGUAUACGGUGUGACGCCUGCCCGGUGCCGGAA
rnacentral:rRNA from 2 species